AUACGGAGGAUCCGAGCGUUAUCCGGAUUUAUUGGGUUUAAAGGGUGCGCAGGCGGGAGAUUAAGUCGGCGGUGAAAUUUUGCAGCUCAAAUGUAAAAGUGCCUUACGAAAUGGUUUUCUUUCGGGUUGAUGAAGUAGGCGGGAUUUGUGGUGUAGCGGUGUAAUGCAUAGAUAUCACGAGGAACUCCGAUUGCGCAGGCAGCUUACUAAACUACUACUGACGCUCAGGCACGAAGGCGUGGGGAUCAAACAGGAUUAGAUACCCUGGUAGUCCACGCAGUAAACGAUGAUUACUAGCUGUUUGCGAUACAAUGUAAGCGGCUGAGCGAAAGCGUUAAGUAAUCCACCUGGGGAGUACGUUCGCAAGAAUGAAACUCAAAUGAAUUGACGGGG
rnacentral:rRNA from 1 species